GAUGAACGCUGGCGGCGUGCCUAAUACAUGCAAGUCGAGCGAACAGACGAGGAGCUUGCUCCUCUGACGUUAGCGGCGGACGGGUGAGUAACACGUGGAUAACCUACCUAUAAGACUGGGAUAACUUCGGGAAACCGGAGCUAAUACCGGAUAAUAUAUUGAACCGCAUGGUUCAAUAGUGAAAGACGGUUUUGCUGUCACUUAUAGAUGGAUCCGCGCCGCAUUAGCUAGUUGGUAAGGUAACGGCUUACCAAGGCGACGAUGCGUAGCCGACCUGAGAGGGUGAUCGGCCCAACUGGAACUGAGACACGGUCCAGAAUCCUAAGGGAGGCAGCAGUAGGGAAUCUUCCGGAAUGGGCGAAAGCCUGAAGGAGGAAAGCCGCGUGAGUGAUGAAGGUCUUCGGAUCGUAAAACCCUGUUAAUAGGGAAGAAAAAAUGUGUAAGUAACUAGUCACGUCUUGAAGGGACCCAAUCCGAAAGGCACCGCUAAAUACCUG
rnacentral:rRNA from 1 species